rnacentral:rRNA from 1 species
AGAAUCAACGCUGGCGGCGUGCCUAACACAUGCAAGUCGAACGCGAAAGGGACUUCGGUCCUGAGUAGAGUGGCGAACGGGUGAGUAACGCGUGGGUGACCUACCCUCGAGUGGGGGAUAACGUCUCGAAAGGGACGCUAAUACCGCAUGACAUUCCGGGUUUGAAGACCUGGAAAUCAAAGCCGGGGACCGCAAGGCCUGGCGCUCGGGGGAGGGCCCGCGUCUGAUUAGCUAGUUGGCGGGGUAACGGCCCACCAAGGCGACGAUCAGUAGCCGCCUGAGAGGGCGGACGGCCACACUGGGACUGAGACACGGCCCAGACUCCGUACGGGAGCAGCGAGUGGGGAAUUGUUCGCAAGUGGGCGAAAGCCGUGACGACGCAACGCCGCGUGGAGGAUGAAGUCUUCGGAUCGUAAACUCCUGUGAUCGGAACGAAAGCUACAACCAAUACGUAGAAGACUGACGGUACCGGUUAGAGGAAGCCACGGCUAACGUC